GGUCUUGCGCAAUGGCGUCUCCUGAACCACGUCAGGUCCUGACGGAAGCAGCGUUAAGGGAAUCACGCGAUGUGCCGCGAGGU
rnacentral:SRP_RNA from 1 species